CACGUAGGGCGCGAGCGUUGUCCGGAAUUAUUGGGCGUAAAGAGCUCGUAGGCGGCCUGUUGCGUCCGCUGUGAAAGCCCGGGGCUUAACCCCGGGUCGGCAGUGGAUACGGGCAGGCUAGAGGUAGGUAGGGGAGAAUGGAAUUCCCGGUGUAGCGGUGAAAUGCGCAGAUAUCGGGAGGAACACCGGUGGCGAAGGCGGUUCUCUGGGCCUUACCUGACGCUGAGGAGCGAAAGCGUGGGGGAGCAAACAGG
rnacentral:rRNA from 1 species